GUUUCCUGUGGAGCUGACAUAUUUCCUGUGGAGUUCCACUCUACAGUCUUCUGCAGCUGGACCCUCUUGAUAACGAACGCACCAUAUGCACAGUGACAGCAGGAUCUGGAGACAAGUGCAUUGUGGGAUCGCUAAAUCUGAUUUUCUCCGACGACUGCUGGGAGUUUGGAGGAUUUGGCCAUUCCUUUUCCAGUGUCAUGGCGACUAACAUCGAGCAGAUAUUUCGAGAUUUUGUAAUGAAUAAAAUAAGAGAAAUUGAAGGCGAAGGUCUGCAUACCGGAGUGACCGCCGAGGGACAUUCAAACGGCAGUGUGCCAUAUUCUGUGAAGAAAACAGGCUUUGGAAAAGAGGUUGCAUUGGUAAUGGAGAAUCACGGGGAUGUAUGUGAACACCCAUGUUCUGCUGAAGUGGCAAAAUGUGCUGAGAAGACAGAGAACACAGCCAGUGAGGACGUGGCUCUCAGCAAAGAGGGCAGCAUGACACUCCACAAGAAGAACAAAAAGCACAAGCGACACAAAAGCAAGAAGAAGAAGAAGCACAAGGAGGAGAGAGAGGGUACCUCCGAAUCUGGGCUGGAGUCUGGUGCAGAGUGUCAUGCUCGUGUGAAGGGUCAGUGUCCUGGCAGAGAGAGAGUGGCAGAAGACGACAGGGCUGCUGUUGUAAGAGUACCAACAGACCAACCCAUGGAAGAAAUGGAUGGCAGACCCAAAAGGCAUAAACAUGUGACCAAAAAAAAGAAGAAGAAAAAUAAGAAAGAUGAGAAGCAUGAAAAAAAAUCUCCCCCUCGUUCCAGAUCAGAGAGCUUUUCUGGUUCAGAAUCGGAAUCAAAGUCUCCUUCAAAGAUGCCACCCAUAUCUUAUCCUGUUGUCCCUUUGGAGAAAAAUCGGGAAAGCUCAUCCUUUGGGAGCCCCCCAAAAAAAUCACCAAAAAAGCUUUCAGAGGAAAUGACACCUGUCCAGUGUGAAGUGUUUGUUCAAGUCUCUGAGCAUUCAGAAGCUGUGGGCAUUCAUGAAGUGGUUUCUUCUCAGACAACAGCCAUAGUGGCAACUAAUGUAAUAGAUAAUCAAGUGAAUAUUGCCCAAGUACUAGAUUUGCCUGAUAUAGUUCCUAAGGUUGAAAAUGCUCACAAGGAAGAAGGUAGGGUGGAUUCUUAUGUCCAAAAAGACACAGAAGAGAGCAGUGAAUCUGUGAAUAAAGAGAAAGGCCCCUGCUGUUCCCAGACCCCAAAGAAAACUAUUGACAAAUCUCAUUCCCAAAGGGUUUGUUCUUCUUCCAGGUCAUCCUCAAGAAGAAGGCGUAGUUCUGGAAAGAAACGUUCUGGGUCUCGAUCUAGAAGACGCAAAUCUCAGACUUCAUCUGUCAAAAGAUCUGAACAGAAAUCCAGUUCUAUAUCGUCCAGGAAGUGCGAAGACUCAUAUUUCAGAUUCUGUAUGAGAUAUAAGAGAUCUAGGUCAAGAUCCAGACAUCACUCCCAAUCUCGAUCUGUUGUACAACGACAUCGGUCUCAUUCAGGGUCUUUUUCUAAGUGCAGAAGGUCACGAUCAAGAUCUAAAAGGUCACGAUCUCGGCACAACCGGAGGUCUCGACCACCAAGAAGGUACAGGCACUCUAGAUCACGAUCCUCAAGAUCUCAUUCAAGAAAAUCUUGUUCCGGGUCAGUCAGGCGGACCAGGCAAACUCGGUCUAGGUCCAUUGUAAUCCGUAGGCAUUCAAGGUCAAAGUCAUUAGUCAGGAGGAAUAGACGGUCAAGGUCCAGGUCAUUGACACAAAUUUGUUCCAGAUCUAGGUCUGCAACAAGACGUCAGUCUAAAUCUCAUUCAACACAGAGAUCCAGGCAUUCUAGAUCAACACCACGAGCUAGGCGAAGAAGAUCUAAAACCUUAUCCCCUCCAUGCAGUAAGAAGUCAAGGUCACCUAUAAGACAUUGUCACUCUAAAUCUCCUUGUGGUGGCCGAAAACAGUCAAAGUCUCCCAAAAGGAACAGACGGUCCAUGUCAAGAUCUCCAACUAAAUGCAAAUCAAAAUGUAGAUCAAUUUCAGGAUUUACUUUGUCAUGUGACAAGAGGCCACUACUAACAGAAGAGAAGAAAGUCUCAGGAUCUCCUACCAGAGAAUUGGGAGACAGUGACAUACCACUUACUGAAAUUCAUGCCUCGGGAUGUAAUGCAGACAAAAGAGAGGAAGAAGAUGCAGUAUCUACAGCCAAAACUGUCCAGUGUAUGAGUUUAAAGGGAUCACAUCUAAACGAAGAAACUCCAGCAAAUCUCAGUGAUCUUAAAUUAGAACAUGCUUUUGAAGAAAUUUGCACUGAUAAUGCAAGUAAAAUAGCAUCUUCUGUUGGAUCUUGGAGGCCAAUACCCUUUCUGGUGGACAGCAAUGCAAAGCCUAACCCUAUUUCUGCAACAGAAAGUUUCAAUGUCUUCACUUCAGCUGCUGUCACACUGACAGAGCUAUCUGAAGAAUUUAAAUGUCCAACAAUGGAAAAAACUCCUCUGACUCCAUCGACUUCUUGGGACUUGUCACAUGAGACCUCUAAAGACCAUCUUCAGAAUAGGAACAAGUCAAGUUUAUCUGAAGAUGUAGGCAAAGAGUCUGAUUUCGGGUGUAGGUCCUGCUUUCCACAGUCUAACGAGCCACCCAAAUCAUUAUCACUUGGGUUGAAAAAUAGUUUUCCUGAAAUGUCAGGUCCUAUCUUGUUUACAGACAUAAAGGCUGAGUCUGAUAUGCCACUUUCAUAUGAACAAAGGUCAAGGUCUCCCAACAAGAAUGACAGUUCAGAAAUUGAAACUAAGGCAGAUUAUUCUGUAUCACACUCAACUUUGAAAGAAGAUGGGCCUCUGAUGGAAAAGAUGGAUUCUGAAGCCACAUCUCCUUUAAACAGAAAGAAAAGCCCUUUCAAAGAGGGCCUAUCAGUUUCACCAUCCUCAAGAAAAAAACAUUCAAAAUCAAGAUCUCGCUCAAGGAGAAAGAAGUCGGUGUCUACUCGGCGGAAGCACUCAAGAUCAAAUUCAACUCCUCGAAGGAGACGUUCGCAGUCAGUAUCAACCACUCGGAGGAAGAAGUCAAAAUCCAGGUCUCCUGGAAGGAAAAGGUCCCCCUCUCAAUCCUGGGGUCAGAAUAAAUCUAAAUUUACCACAAGGAGGAGGAGAUCAAGAUCUAAGCUGAAGAAGUCACGAUCAAAGUCUACUUCCAGAUCCACCAAAAGAAAGAGGACUAAGUCCAGAACACCUGUCCAAAAAAAGCACUCAAAGUCUCGCUCACCUCGGAGAAAACGGUCCCGGUCAGCAGUUCAGAGAAGAUCCAGAUCUGCAGAUAAAAGGAGACAUUCAAAAUCUCUCUCCCAGACUAGAAAGAGGAGGAUGCGCUCACGAUCUCCAAAUCGUAACCACCGUUCCCGGUCUAGAAGGUCUCGCUCCAUAUCCCGCAGACAGAGAGGUAGUUUUCGUAGUCGUUCAUUUGACCGCAGGGACAGAUGGAGACGUGAACCUAGCCAUUCUCCUGUUGUCAUCCUUCGCAAAAAGAGGUCUGCUUCACGGACUUGUCGCAGCACAAGUAAAACUCCUCCACGCCUUACUGAGCUAGACAAAGAGCAGCUUCUGGAAAUUGCCAAGGCCAAUGCUGCAGCUAUGUGUGCCAAGGCUGGCAUGCCCAUUCCUGAGAGCCUGAGGCCUAAGGCCACCCCCACUUCAGUUUCUUCCCCCCUGAACCUGCCCCUGCCUUUGAAUCUGUCAAUGGGAAUGCCCCUGGGUAUGCCUAACAUUAGUAUGAAUGCAGCAAUGGCGACUAUGACUGCUGCCACCAUGACUGCUGCCCUGACCAACAUGAGCGCUCUGGCCAACAUGCCUAAUUUGCUUAGCAUCACCAACAAACCCUCACCCACUGCCAUGCCCAACACUACCAAUAUCGAGGAGGUCAAGAGGAAGGUUACGCAGAAGGCUAACAGCAUCAGCAUCAAGGAAUUGACAGAGAAAUGCAAGAUGAUCGCAGAGAGCAAGGAAGAAAUGGCUGUGGCUCAGCCACAUAUGUCUGAUGAUGAGGAUGAUGAGAAGUCAUCUGGUGGAGGAGCCUUCCGUGAGAGCAAGGGCAUCUCCUUCAACCUGAGUAACCCUUUGGCGAAGCCAGCAGUGAGGACAGAGGCAGCCUUUGCCAAGGAAUUCCCGGUAUCUUCAGGUUCACAGCACCGUAAGAAGGAGAGUGAGGGAGACUACGGGGAGUGGGUUCCCAUUGACAGGAAGGCAGAGAGGGACAAGGCAGCCAGUGUGUCCAUCUCUGUGAGCACAGCGGGGGAGGAAGAGUGCAAGGAUAGUGUCUUCCCUGAUGCCCCCCUGCAGCCUGUGGACAUCACGCUAGCUGUGAGCGAGAGGGCAGCGGCACAGAAGCGGCUGGCUGAAAACCCCUUUGAUGUGAACGCCAUCUGCAUGCUGAGUCGGGCACAGGAGCAGGUGGAUGCCUGGGCUCAGUCAAAUUCCAUUCCAGGCCUUUUCACGGGCUCCACUGGUGCCCAAGUGCUGUCUUCUGAGGAGCUGUCCAACAGUGGCCCACAGGCAUGGAUUAAGAAGGUAAGCCCCUUUACCCUGCCCCCCACAGCCCCUGAUGGGGAUUCCUUGUGUGCUCCCAGAUGCACCAGGUACAGGCAACUCUUGCUAGUCGCACAUAUUCACUUUAAACUACUGACUGUACUUUUAUUAUAAACAGCUGUUACCUAUCAGCUUGAACAGGUGCAAAAUAUUUCUCUUAAUAAUUUAGCCUUUUGAUUAAUGUUUAAAAUUAGAACUUAGAUCAGCCAUUACCUGUGUUUCAUAGCAGUUUGUGUCCGCUCCAGUUCAGGAAGACGCCUCAUGUUGACUUGCUCUGCAAGCAUGGCUUGUACAUAAGUACACAUUGAGAAGUUUCACUCUCUUAAUGCCUUAAAAAGCAAACACACAGAGUGAAGCCUAACCCCCAACCCCCUCCCCUCAGUGUGUCACUGUGCUGUCUGUACACGGCUGUACCCGUCUCAACAUGCUCACAGUCUGCGCUGGUUCUCAUGCAUGGUGUGAGUUCCAGGCACCACUCAGUACUGGUGUUCAAUUAGAGGAACUUGGCCAUUAAUUGAUCAUUCCCUGUAUGAGUACGCUUGUUCGCUGUUGCUGCGCAUUUAAAUUUUCCUUACAUAUUCAGUCAUGUAAUCCUUUUAGUAAACAGGCACAUGCUUUGUUUCACACAGAAAGCAAUGCAUGAAAACCAGCUAGCCCCCACCCCACCCCACCCCACCCCCCCAGAAAGGCCUUUGGGAGAGUGUGCGUGCAGGGUGGGAUCACCAGUGGUGAACGCACAGGGAUGCGGGUGUGUUUGUGUGACGUUCUGUCAAAGCAGGUGCAAUUACAGGAUGGGGUCUCUCCUAUCUGCAAGGGGCCUUUGCUAAAACACAGAGGUACAGAAACAGAGAGAGAAUGAGAAAGAGGAGGAUGAGAGAUGGAAGGUCAGUCCUUGUAGCUGCCUUGUUGCCAUGGUCACUGUCAGGCCCUGUCAUUCACAAGCGAUGCACGGCCGAUGAUAAGGGGCCAAGGUACGUACGCCAACCACAGCCUUAUGUCUAUCUAUAUCUGUGUGCAUCUGUGUAUGUACAAGACAUUCUGCAAUGGCCUGACUGCACCGAGUGCUUGUUUGCAUAGUGUAUCUUCUCCGGUUAAAUAAGUCAAAUGCUCACUCAAAUUAGUUCUUUCUUUAAUAACAUUCCAAAUUAAUCUGUUACUUGCAUGUUUUAUAAAUUAAUGUUAAUGUUUUGCUCGUCUUGUUGCUAGUUUAGCUUUAGGGGCUUGGCGCGGUGCCAGCCUGCAUGACUGACAGCUGUCAUUCGGCACAGUAGUAUGUGUGUGUGGUCAACAGGGCCUACCGGCCACACUCAACUCAGGAGGGACUUUACUGCAUUGCCGUUGAGCACGGUACUUAACGUGUGGGUUUGCUGAGACAGGGAGAGGCUGCAGCUCAGAGGAGUCUCCCGUUGGCUCUGCAGGUCAGGGGUUGCCAGUCCUCUUCUCUGCCAGCUGCACUACGGAUUUCCUGUUGCU